rnacentral:rRNA from 1 species
ACAUCCAGAGAAUUUAGCAGAGAUGCUUUAGUGCCUUCGGGAACUCUGAGACAGGUGCUGCAUGGCUGUCGUCAGCUCGUGUUGUGAAAUGUUGGGUUAAGUCCCGNAACGAGCGACAACCCUUAUCCUUUGUUGCCAGCACGUAAUGGUGGGAACUCAAAGGAGACUGCCGGUGAUAAACCGGAGGAAGGUGGGGAUGACGUCAAGUCAUCAUGGCCCUUACGAGUAGGGCUACACACGUGCUACAAUGGCGCAUACAAAGAGAAGCGACCUCGCGAGAGCAAGCGGACCUCAUAAAGUGCGUCGUAGUCCGGAUUGGAGUCUGCAACUCGACUCCAUGAAGUCGGAAUCGCUAGUAAUCGUAAAUCAGAAUGUUACGGUGAAUACGUUCCCGGGCCUUGUACACACCGCCCGUCACACCAUGGGAGUGGGUUGCAAAAGAAGUAGAUAGCUUAACCUUCGGGAGGGCGUUUACCACUUUGUGAUUCAUGACUGGGGUGAAGUCGUAACAAGGUAGGCGUAGUGCU